rnacentral:lncRNA from 1 species
CCAGGUCUUUAGGACUAAGCCGGAGUUUGCAUUGUGGAACGUUCGGGGACGCUGUAUUAACUGGUUUAUCUGCAUUACCACCGAGUCUUCCUAACAACUCGUGUUGGAGACUAGUAUUCCAUUUUAUAGUUGGGGAAACUGAAGCCUUAGCAACUGCCCAGCUUACGCCCACAGUACACGAUAGAGUCAGAAAUUGACUUCCCAAGCCUAGUCUCUUAAUCAUACCUGUGCACUGCCUCUCUACUACACCUAAAACCUGUGUUUUACAAAUGUCCUUUCAACACCAUUUGUCUCAGCUCUGUAUUCGUCGGCCCUCUGGGGGAUACAGCGAGGUAGAAGCCUUGGCCCCGUUCUGAACCAGUUGACCAAAAAUCCCGAGCAAAGCGCUCCAGUGAGAGGAGGGAGAGACAGCUGUCAGCUGGAGCUGCUGAAUGCAGCGCGAAGGAUGGAAGGAUGCUGAUUUGAGCUGGGCGUGAUUUGGAAGAUCCAGAGAAGGACAUUCCAGGUCCCGGACAGCCAAAGCGAAGUCUCACAGGAUUCUGCCCUGCCCUUCAGCUCUGCAUCUGAUGGCCAGCAUCUGGGGGAUCUUGUUUUCCUAAGAUUGUUGGAAUUCCUGUUAUCAUCAUAUGAAGUCUUCCCCUGGCGUCAUCAGCUUCCUGUAUCCAGGAGCUGUUCUAACUAAGGAACCUCAGUGCAGACACCUGAAUAUCACAUUCUCUGCCUGAAGAAUUCUCCGAUCUUGGUAGAGUGUGGACCCUUUUGAGAUCUUGCUUUUUGGCAUGAUCAUUUCUGACAUACCUCUGUGUCCAUUGGUGUAAUUUUUUGUUUUUGGAAACAGACUGAGCUGCUUCUGCCCAGAGCCAUCAAGGCUGUACCUGAAACUGUCUCCUGACCUUGGAGUGCUCAAGUUCACAUGGACUCUCCACUUUGUUCUGGAGAUAUGUGGGCUCCGGCUCAGGCAGCAUCAAGACAAGCCAGGCCUGCAGACCUCCCCAAGGGACAAAAGCCCUCCUCCUCACCCACGAAGGUGGGCUCAUCCUGCUGGAUAUGAGACCUUCCCUUUACCUCUGCUAUCUUUUCUCUGUGUAAGAUUCACAUGACUCCCGCUCAGUCAUGGAUGUGGGCACGCCUCCGUGCCCGGGACCUCCACCGUCUCUUCCCCAGUCCUGCUGCAACUGCUCCGUAGCCCAGGCCCCACGACAUAACCGUCCCUGUGGCAGCAGCUGGUAGAUAAGACCAAAGGAUAUGACCAAAGAUUGGAAGGGUUAGGCCUCUCAGGAGGAUUGCCCCAGGGGCACGAUGCUGGCAGGUUAUGAGAACGAGAUGCCUCAGGGUAAGGACCCAGCCUUCACUUACUAAUCCUGUAAAUGAUGGAGAAGGGAAAGCCAGCGUUUAAAAAUAUCCCACCACGGAGUUCCCGUUGUGGCACAAUGGGAUUGGCAGCAUCUUGGGAGCUCUGGGACACAGGUUCUGUCCCAGCCCGGCACAGUGGGUUAAGAAUCCAGGGUUGCCGAAGCUGUGGCUUAGGUUGCAACUGCGGCUCAGAUCAGAUCCCUGGCCUGGGAACUCCAUAUGCUGCAAGGCAGCCAAAAACAGAAAACAAACGAAAACUAUAUAUGUGUGUGUGUGUGUGUGUGUGUACAAAUCCCACUGCUUGCUCCAUGAGUCCCCUAAAAUGAAGAUAAGACUCCAGCCAAGAAAUUAAGUUGAUUUGGGAAAAACUAAAAAUCCCUCCUUGGUGUUAUAACUUCAAGUUCAGUUUACUGUUAUUAUGUAGUGCUUUCUAGCAAUAUUUUCCCAUUUAUAUUAUUUUUAAAAGAAAUGGAAUUUCCCUGGUGGCCUAACAGGUUAAGGAUCCCGCAUUGUCACUGCUGUGGAUAAGUGACAAUGCUGUGGUGUGGGUUUGACCCUUGGCCCAGGAACUUCUGCAUACCAUGUCCAAAAAAGCCCAUUAUUGCCUUAGAGAUUUCCAAUUAUCUCUCCAGUUUGAUUAACAAAAACUGGUUAAUUAGGUUUCACUGUAUGAGCUAAGGAGUUUCAUUAUUCUGUUUGCCUAAAAUCUAAAAUUUGUACUACAUAUUUGCAUAUAUAUAUCUUACAUAUAUGUAUUUGUAUAUUUGUAUUGUGCCUUUGUAUUUGUAUAUAUCUUUUUUUUUUUUUUUUUUUUUUUUUUUUUUUUUUUUUUUUUUUUUGUCUUUUUGCCUUUUCUUGAGCCGCUCCCGCGGUAUAUGGAGCUUCCCAGGCUAGGGGUCCAAUCGGAGCUGUAGCCACCAGCCUACACCACAGCCACAGCAAUGUGGGAUCCAAACUGCGUCUGUGACCCACACCACAGCUCACAGCAACACUGGAUCCCCAACCCACUGAGCAAAGGCAGGGAUGAAACCUGCAACCUCAUGGUUCCUGGUCGGAUUCGUUAACCACUGCACCACGACGGGAACUCCUGUAUUUGUAUAUAUCUUAUUUAAAAUUCUCCUUAGAGUUCCUGUUGUGGAUCAGAGGGUUAAGAACAGCAUAGCGUCCAUGAGGACGCAGGUUCAAUCCCUGGCCUUGCUCAGUGGGUUAAGGAUCCGGCGCUGCUGCAAACUGCAGUGUAGGUCACAGAUGUGUCUGGAAUCCCACGUUGCUAUGACUGUGGCCUAGGCAGGCAGCUGCAGCUCUGCUCCUAUUCGACCCCUAGCCCAGGAACUUCCAUAUGCUGCAGGUAUGACCCUAAAAAGAAAAAAAAAAAAAAAAAA